CCUACGGGAGGCAGCAGUGGGGAAUAUUGCACAAUGGGGGAGACCCUGAUGCAGCGACGCAGCGUGAGUGAAGAAGGAAUUCGUUAUGGAAAGCUCUAUCAGCAGGGAAGAAAAUGACGGUACCUGAGUAAGAAGCCCCGGCUAACUACGUGCCAGCAGCCGCGGUAAUACGUAGGGUGCAAGCGUUAUCCGGAUUUACUGGGUGUAAAGGGAGCGUAGACGGCAGUGCAAGUCAGGAGUGAAAGGCGGGGGCUCAACCCCCGGACUGCUCUGGAAACUGUACGGCUGGAGUGCAGGAGAGGUAAGUGGAAUUCGUAGUGUAGCGGUGAAAUGCGUAGAUAUUAGGAAGAACACCAGUGGCGAAGGCAGCUUACUGGACUGUAACUGACGUUGAGGCUCGAAAGCGUGGGUAGCAAACAGGAUUAGAUACCCGAGUAGUC
rnacentral:rRNA from 1 species